UUGUUUUGCAGAAUGUGAUUUCCCAGAUUACGGCAGACUUUAACUCCAGGUUGAAGUUUGAUUCUUUUCGUUCAUCAGCGAUUCCACCCACUAGUAAGGUUAAAAGCUAUUCAGUGAAGCUUAAUAAUGCAGACAUUCGGAGAAAAGAGGCUUUGCAUGACCGUCAAGUGAAGGGGAAUCUACAGAGAAUAGAGCGACUGGUGGAAGGAGGUCGAGACCCCUUAUCUAUCCUGCAGAGGGAGAGGGAGAUCCUGAAGAGGGAACAUAAGGAACAGGUGCAAAGGACUGAACUAAAGCGUCUGGAGACACAAAUCUGUAAAAAAGAGGUAGCUCUGGCUCGGACUCGGAUUACCGAACAAAACCUUAAGGCUGCCCAGCUGAAGAAGGAAGAG